rnacentral:rRNA from 1 species
CUCAAGAUUAAGCCAUGCAUGUCUAAGCACAUGCCCUUGAACGGUAAAGCCGCGGAAGGCUCAUUACAACAGCCAUAGUUUAUUAGAACUUUCCUUACUUGGAUAACUGUGGUAAUUCUAGAGCUAAUACAUGCACCAAAGCCCCUUCCUUACGAGAGGGGUGCACUUAUUAGAACAAGGCCAAUCGGGCUUUCGGGUCCGUCAUUUGGUGAAUCUGAAUAACCUUGCUGAUCGCAUGGUCUUUAGUACCGGCGACGUAUCUUUCAAAUGUCUGCCUUAUCAACUUUCGAUGGUAGUUGACACGACUACCAUGGUUGUAACGGGUAACGGAGAAUAAGGGUUCGACUCCGGAGGGGGAGCCUGAGGAACGGCUACCGCAUCCAAGGAAGGCAGCAGGCGCGCAAAUUACCCAAUCACAGCAAGUGGAGGUAGUGACGAAAAAUAACGAGGCGGUUCUCUUUGAGGCCCACCAUCGGAAUGGGUACAAUUUAAGUCCUUUAGCGAGGAUCAAUUGGAGGGCAAGUCUGGUGCCAGCAGCCGCGGUUAUUCCAGCUCCAAUAGCGUAUAUUAAAGUUGUUGUGGUUAAAAAGCUCGUAGUUGGAUCUACGGCCGAGGAUUGCGGUCCCCCGCUGGGUGGUUACUGCUUUUCCUGGCCUAAACCUUCGGUUUUCUCUCACUGAGUGUCUUGAGUAGCUGAAACUUUUACUUUGAAAAAAUUAGAGUGCUCAAAGCAGGCGGAUGAGCCUGAAUACUAGUGCAUGGAAUAAUAAAAGAGGAUCUCGGAUCUAUUUUGUUGGUUUUCGGAACAGAGAUAGUGAUCGACGGGGACAGACGGGGGCAUUCGUAUUGCGACGUUAGAGGUGAAAUUCUUGGAUCGUCGCAAGACGGACUACUGCRAAAGCRUUUGCCAAGAAUGUUUUCAUCAAUCAAGAACGAAAGUUAGAGGUUCGAAGGCGAUCAGAUACCGCCCUAGUUCUAACCGUAAACGAUGCCAACUAACGAUCCGCCGGAGUUAAAUUUAUGACUCGGCGGGCAGUUUCCGGGAAACCAAAGUUUUUGGGUUCCGGGGGAAGUAUGGUUGCAAAGCUCAAACUUAAAGGAAUUGACGGAAGGGCACCACCAGGAGUGGAGCCUGCGGCUUAAUUUGACUCAACACGGGAAAACUCACCCGGCCCGGACACCGUAAGGAUUGACAGAUUGAGAGCUCUUUCUUGAUUCGGUGGGUGGUGGUGCAUGGCCGUUCUUAGUUGGUGGAGCGAUUUGUCUGGUUAAUUCCGAUAACGAACGAGACUCUAGCCUACUAAAUAGUCAGUGGAUCGACUGUUUACUGCACUUCUUAGAGGGACAAGCGGCAUUUAGCUGCACGAGAUUGAGCAAUAACAGGUCUUUGAUGCCCUUAGAUGUCCGGGGCUGCACGCGCGCUACACUGAAGGAAUCAACAUGCAUUGUCGACCUAGUUCGGCAGGACUUGGUAACCAGUUGAAACUCCUUCGUGCUUGGGAUAGGGAAUUGCAAUUAUUUCCCUUGAACGAGGAAUUCCCAGUAAGUGCGGGUCAUCAGCUCGCGUUGAUUACGUCCCUGCCCUUUGUACACACCGCCCGUCGCUACUACCGAUUGGAUGUUUUAUUGAGGUCUUCGGACUGCUGGCGAGGUCACUCGUCAAGUGGAAAGAUGACCAAGAUCAAACAUUUAGAGGAAGUAAAAGUCGUAACAAGGUAGC